GAUGAACGCUGGCGGCGUGCCUAACACAUGCAAGUCGAGCGGUAUAUGGUGGAACGAAACUUCGGUCGAGUGAAGCUAUAGAGAGCGGCGGACGGGUGAGUAACGCGUAGGCAACCUGCCCCAUACAGAGGGAUAGCCUCGGGAAACCGGGAUUAAAACCUCAUAACGCGAGGAGUUCACAUGGACUACUCGCCAAAGAUUCAUCGGUAUGGGAUGGGCCUGCGUCUGAUUAGCUAGUUGGUGAGGUAACGGCUCACCAAGGCGACGAUCAGUAGCCGACCUGAGAGGGUAAUCGGCCACAUUGGAACUGAGACACGGUCCAAACUCCUACGGGAGGCAGCAGUGGGGAAUAUUGCACAAUGGGCGAAAGCCUGAUGCAGCAACGCCGCGUGAGCGAUGAAGGCCUUUGGGUCGUAAAGCUCUGUCCUUGGGGAAGAAACAAAUGACGGUACCCUUGGAGGAAGCCCCGGCUAACUACGUAGCCAGCAGCCGCGGU
rnacentral:rRNA from 1 species